rnacentral:tRNA from 3 species
GGGUCUGUAGCUCAAUGGUAGAGCGCCAGCCUUUUAAGCUGGGCGUCGUGGGUUCGAUUCCCACCAGACCCACCA